GACGAACGCUGGCGGCGUGCCUAAUACAUGCAAGUAGAACGCUGAAGAGAGGAGCUUGCUCUUCUUGGAUGAGUUGCGAACGGGUGAGUAACGCGUAGGUAACCUGCCUUGUAGCGGGGGAUAACUAUUGGAAACGAUAGCUAAUACCGCAUAACAAUGGAUGACACAUGUCAUUUAUUUGAAAGGGGCAAUUGCUCCACCACAAGAUGGACCUGCGUUGUAUUAGCUAGUAGGUGAGGUAAUGGCUCACCUAGGCGACGAUACAUAGCCGACCUGAGAGGGUGAUCCGCCACACUGGGACUGGGACACGGCCCAGACUCCUACGGGAGGCAGCAGUAGGGAAUCUUCGGCAAUGGGGGCAACCCUGACCGGGCAACGCCGCGUGAGUGAAGAAGGUUUUCGGAUCGUAAAGCUCUGUUGUAAGUCAAGAACGGGUGUGAGAGUGGAAAGUUCACACUGUGACGGUAGCUUACCAGAAAGGGACGGCUAACUACGUG
rnacentral:rRNA from 1 species